UAAACAGGAGUUCCCUGCGUAGCCCUGGCUGUCCUAGGACUUGUUCUGCCGACCAGGCUGGCCUUGAACUCAGAGAUCUAACUGGUUCUGCCUCCCGAGUGCUGGGAUUAAAGGCGUGCGCCGCCGGCCGCCACCACCACCUGGCUAACAUCUACUUUUCAUCAGAGAAGUCACCUGGAUGGAAGAGAGAUACCCAAAUGGACCCCAUUGAGCCCAAGUCACUUGGGUGUUAUUUCCUCAGGUGGAUUUUGGUGAAUUAUUUUUGGAACUCAAUUGGACCUCCCUGGAUUUGGUCAAUGGUCCAUUACUUUAUUAUGGACUGAGGUUUUUAGGAUCUUGCUUGUUGUAAGAAUGUAAUGUUAGAAUCCAGGUUCACAAAUGCCAGGUCUCCAGUUGGUAGUUCUGUUUAGGAAGCUUAGGAGGUGUGGCCUUGUUGGAGGAAGUAUGUCACUGGAGGUGGGCUUUCAGAGCUAAAAAACUGGGCCAUUUGGAAUUUGCUCUGUCUGCUUCAUGAGUGGUUCAGGAUGUGAACUCUCAGCUUUCUGCUCCUGCCACAUGUCCCCAUGCCGCUGCUCUGCCAUCAUGGACUCUUAUCUCUCUAGAACCAAAAGCUCAAACUUUUCUUUUCUUUUCUUUUUUUUUUGGUUUUUCGAGACAGGGUUUCUCAGUGUAGCUUUGCGCCUUUCCUGGAACUCACUUGGUAGCCCAGGCUGGCCUCGAACUCACAGAGAUCCACCUGCCUCUGCCUCCCGCGUGCUGGGAUUAAAGGCAUGUGCCACCACCACCCUCAAACUUUUCUCUAAGCUGCCUUCCUCAUGGUGUUUCAUCACAGCAGUAGACAAGUAACUAAUACACUCACCCCUUUCACAGUUGCUGACAGGCACCCUAAUGAGACACUGUGAACCCUGAGGAACAGGGUUGUUGGUAGCCUGGGAGAACCACAUCCUGCUCCCCAUUCUCUUCCCUACCUCCUUGCCUGGGAAUCAGUGAGCCUAGCUGUGAGAUCUUGCUGUGAACUCCCUCCAUCCUCAAGAGGUCUAAAAAGAGACUACCUCCUGUGCCAUGUGGGCUCUGAUUCUCCUCACAGAUCCCACCAUGAUGUCUGUCUCUGGUGCUGGGACUUGAAUUCUUGGAGUUUGGGACAUGCUGUUGCCCCUUGGUGUAGGCGGAGUUUUCCAUUGCUGACAGCCACUCUCGAAUAACCACUCAGAGUCUUAAUAUUAAUUACAAAUGCUCGGUCAAUAGCUCAGGCUUGUUACUAGCCAAUUCUUACAUUUUCUUAUCUAUGCUUUGCCACGUGGUUUGGUAACAUUUCUCAGUAUGGCAUGCCCAUCUUGCUUCUCUCUCUGUCUGCUCACAACUCCUCACUUCACCCUUCUUCCUCCCAGCAUUCUCAGUUUGGCUCUCCUGUCUAACCUUAUCCUGUUCAGCUAUUGGCCAGUCAGCUUGUUUAUUAGGGAAUAUUCCACACCUUUGUCUGUGUAUUAAUGCUAUUAAUAACUCUUCUAAUAAACUUCUUAUUCUCAAGUAAUCCAUCUCGGUGUCCUCUCUAACACCCUUCCCCCACCUAAACCUAACAUUUGUCUGGAUCCUUUAAUUGGUUGAUUGAUUACUUCCCCAGCGUUUGCUUUAAAUUAUCUAUUUUGAUUGUUUUUGAAACAUUUUGGUUUGAUUGAUUGUCUUUAGUUUUGUUUGCUUUUAGACCUUUAGAGAUGUUUUGGUUUCUGUUUCAGCCUUGCAGAGGAGAUCCAUCUUGAAGCAUGGUUGGUGAAUUUCCCCAUCUGUUGGAAGGCAGCGCUACCCUACCAGUUUGCAUGUUAUCCUGGCUUCCUUUACUUCCGCUUUUUGUUUGUUUUGUAUAGGUUUAUCCGUCCUCUGUUUCUGGUCAGAUGGCAGUAUGUGUGGCAUUGUGGGGACAUUAUAAGCAAUGAUCCCUUAGAUGUCCCACAUCAGUCUCUUGUCUCCAAGAGAGCCCUGAGAUACAGUGGAGAAUGCCUUCCCCAGAGCAGACACAGGGACAACAGACUGCUUCUGUACCUUUUCUUCCUCUAAAGUCUUAACAUUCUUUGUUUCCUUCUUUCCUGUCUCCUUGACUUCAGGACCCUGAGGCUUAGACAGAAGAACCCUGUCAUAUUCCUCCCUUAUGAUGGGACUUCUUAGGGAGGGGAGGAAGCCCCGAGUGAAUGAAAUCCUGAGUGAAUAAAGGCUUUGACAUGAGUUUUGCCUAUUGAGGACUCUGAGACAGGUUGGCCCAUGGCAAAGCCCUUACACAUGUGGACCGGGCUCAAGAGGUGUCAGUGAGCAUCAAGGACUGAUGAGUGUGUGCAAAGACCAGCAACUAUGGCUUCCUCCUCCCAGAUGUUUCCUGCCUGAGACUGCUCGUCUACGGAGAUCUCCUAUCAAGACUAGUCAACCCCUCCCCCUGCGCUGUACAUAAUAAACAUACGAACGGUUGGGUUAUGGCAGUUGGAGAACCCCAUCUGA